AGUGAACGCUGGCGGUAGGCCUAACACAUGCAAGUCGAACGGCAGCACAGUAAGAGCUUGCUCUUACGGGUGGCGAGUGGCGGACGGGUGAGGAAUACAUCGGAAUCUACUUUUUCGUGGGGGAUAACGUAGGGAAACUUACGCUAAUACCGCAUACGACCUACGGGUGAAAGCAGGGGAUCUUCGGACCUUGCGCGAUUGAAUGAGCCGAUGUCGGAUUAGCUAGUUGGCGGGGUAAAGGCCCACCAAGGCGACGAUCCGUAGCUGGUCUGAGAGGAUGAUCAGCCACCCGGGAACUGAGACACGGUCCAGACUCCUACGGGAGGCAGCAGUGUGGAAUAUUGGACAAUGGGCGCAAGCCUGAUCCAGCCAUACCGCGUGGGUGAAGAAGGCCUUCGGGUUGUAAAGCCCUUUUGUUGGGAAAGAAAAGCAGCAGGUUAAUACCCCGCUGUUCUGACGGUACCCAAAGAAUAAGCACCGGCUAACUUCGUG
rnacentral:rRNA from 1 species